rnacentral:rRNA from 1 species
CCUACGGGUGGCAGCAGUGAGGAAUAUUGGUCAAUGGACGGAAGUCUGAACCAGCCAUGUCGCGUGCAGGAAGACGGCUCUAUGAGUUGUAAACUGCUUUUGUACAAGGGUAAACCUGAAUACGUGUAUUCAGCUGAAAGUACUGUACGAAUAAGGAUCGGCUAACUCCGUGCCAGCAGCCGCGGUAAUACGGAGGAUCCAAGCGUUAUCCGGAUUUAUUGGGUUUAAAGGGUGCGUAGGCGGAUUGAUAAGUUAGAGGUGAAAUGUUCGAGCUUAACUCGGGAACUGCCUCUAAUACUGUUGAUCUAGAGAGUAGAUGCGGUAGGCGGAAUGUAUGGUGUAGCGGUGAAAUGCUUAGAGAUCAUACAGAACACCGAUUGCGAAGGCAGCCUGCUGGGCUUUUACUGACGCUGAGGCUCGAAAGUGUGGGGAGCAAACAGGAUUAGAUACCCCGGUAGUC